GACGAACGCUGGCGGCGUGCUUAACACAUGCAAGUCGAACGAUGAAGCUGGAGCUUGCUCCGGUGGAUUAGUGGCGAACGGGUGAGUAACACGUGAGCAAUCUGCCCUUGACUCUGGGAUAACUGCGGGAAACUGUAGCUAAUACCGGAUACUUUCACUGGAAGGCAUCUUCUGGUGAAGAAAGAAUUUCGGUCAAGGAUGGACUCGCGGCCUAUCAGCUAGUUGGUGAGGUAACGGCUCACCAAGGCGACGACGGGUAGCCGGCCUGAGAGGGUGACCGGCCACACUGGGACUGAGACACGGCCCAGACUCCUACGGGAGGCAGCAGUGGGGAAUAUUGCACAAUGGGCGCAAGCCUGAUGCAGCAACGCCGCGUGAGGGAUGACGGCCUUCGGGUUGUAAACCUCUUUUAGUAGGGAAGAAGCGAAAGUGACGGUACCUGCAGAAAAAGCACCGGCUAACUACGUGCCAGCCGCCGCAGUAA
rnacentral:rRNA from 1 species